rnacentral:rRNA from 1 species
CCCUUAGAUGUCCUGGGCCGCACGCGUGCUACACUGAUGCAUACAGCGAGUACUUUCCAGCUCCGCGAGGCAGCUGGUAAUCAGCAAUAUGCAUCGUGCUUGGGAUAGAUCUUUGGAAUUAUAGAUCUUGAACGAGGAAUUCCUAGUAAGCGCAAGUCAUUAGCUUGCGCUGAUUAAGUCCCUGCCCUUUGUACACACCGCCCGUCGCUCCUACCGAUUUCGAGUGAUUCGGUGAACCUUUUGGACAGCGUCUGUCCUCGUGUCAGAUGCUGAAAGUCAAGUAAACCAUAUCACUUAGAGGAAGGAGAAGUCGUAACA